UAUAUUCAAGUAUAUUUGUACAAAAGUUUUUGAAACUUUAGGAAAUAAUUAAAUUUAUUGAAUAUAU
rnacentral:tRNA from 1 species